UUAUUUUGUAUUUAUUUAAUUAAUUUUGUAAUUUAUUUAAUAAUUUCCGAAAAUCAUACCGAGAUAGUCAGUCGUUAGAAUUUCGUGCCGAUUACAGUGGUGUGGUUAGUUUGUACAGUUGAUUGUUAAAUUGUGCAAUUGAGUGAUGAUUGUAAAUUUUGAGUAUUUAUUUCAAAAUUGUAAAAUUUUGGUAUUGAAUUAGAAAAUACUGGGUGUCGGGUUUUGACACCAAAAAUGUUUUUAAGUACUAUAUUAAAUAGUGGGAUUUUAAAAUGAAUGAUAUCAAUUUUUAAGGUUCGAUUUGACCAUGUACCACACACGAUUAUUUUUAUUGGAUAUUUUUAAUACGAAAAAAAUAGGCCAAACACAUUAUCUUAAUUGAGGCAUUUGAGUGCAAAGCACAAUAUCCUUGGUCGAGAUUGAUUGAUAGUGUGAUGGUUAAGUGAACUCGUCCCCGAUGUGUGUCGGAAGAACGUGGCCCCUAUAUGGGAUGCCCUUGGACAACGGAUGCCAGUCGUAGUAGAUUUUGGAUCGAUGCUCCUUCGGGAAUGCCGUCCCCGAUGUGCAUCAGUGGAUGUUGCCAUGCUCAAGGAAUGAGACGAAGCCUGGCUAUGCUAGAAGACCGAUGUGCGUCGGUAGAUCGUGCCUGUGUAGGUAGUAAUCAAUUGGAACGCAUGAUUGAUUGAGAUAAACACGCUAAAUUAUGGGACAAAAUUGUGUGGCACGGUAUAUGACGUGUCAUAACGAUUUGGCCUUAUAAUCGAGACCCCUGUGAUUGAUUGAGAUAUGAUUGAUUGAGAUGUGAUUGAGAUGUUCCAAUUGAUGUGUGCAUUAAGUAUAUGAACUGUACUGAUGUGCAGGGAGGAACUGAGGCGACUCGUUGAUUGUAUGGUUAGACCUCCCCUAGGCAUUUUUCAUUCCUAAUCGGGGUUUAGGGAGUAGACUUACUGAGACGUUAUCUCACCCCCGUCGUGAGCUUACCCUUUUUAGGUCCUUAAAUGGUGGUCCCUCUGGUUCGUUUUGGACAGUCCCAGGGGAUUUCUGAGUGGAGUAUAGACGUCCUUGUCCCUAGGAGUCACUGAGUCUAUGAGCUCGUAGUGAUCACUAUCUGAGUCGAUUGGGCCUACCUUAGAGGGUACCUCAUCAAUUCAGGGCGUGGUUUCGCCAUGGGCUCAAUGCGUACAGGGUAGGUCCCCUUCAAGGUUUUGAUAUCCCCGCCGUGGUGGUCAACGCCACUCCAAGCGAGGGUGUAGUUGACCCUCUUGAUGGCGUUGUGGAGGACCCAAAGCCCCCAAAGCUUGUAGACGGACUAGUUUGUUUAUAAAAGUGUUUUGUGAAAAUUUGUAUCCUGCUUUUCUAUCUCAUAUUUGUGUUGUCUGGGCAUUUGUUUAUUCACUUCCGCAUGUGCAUUCACCGAUUGGGUCGGCGACACGUCCUAGGACGUCGCAAUUUAGUCGACCACCGAGGGAUGUGCGCACGCUCAAGGAUUGGGGCGUGACACAAUGCUCCUUUAUGAAAUGCCGUCUUGAUGCGUUUACGCGAGACAUUGCCGUGCUUGAUAGGGCGAGACGACGCCCGGUUAUGCCGGAUGACUGCCAACUAUUGAGUUGGGCAUGGCCGAUAUAUCGUAAUAACUAGAAUACAUGUGAGUGUUUGAGAUAGUCGCGCCUGAUUAUGGGACGAAAUUGUGCGGCACAGAAUGGGACGUGUCAUAACGAUUUGGCCUUAUAAUCAUGACCCCUGUGAAUAUUUGAUGAAUGAUAUAAGGCGUUCCAAUUAUUGAUUUACGCUUGCUGCGUUUAUAUAUGUAUAUGAGAUGUACUAUUGUACAGGGAGGUGUUGAGGCGAGGUAAGACCUAUAUGGUGCAUGUUUAGGCUACCUCUGAGUGAAUCCUCGUCCUAAUCAAGGUUUAGGGUGUUGACUCGCUGAGAUUUUUAUCUCACCCCGUCGUGAGUUACCAUUUUCAGGGCCGUAGCGUGGAGGAUCCAAAGCCUGAGGCUGAAGGGUCUAGAGUGUAGAUGGCCUAGUGGUUUCUUUUUGAGUCAGACCUUCUGUAUAUGAACCUAUAGGGUUAACUCGGUUUGUUUAUAAAGUGUGUUUUGUGAGAAAGGUGUUGGCAUGUGUUUUACUAUCCCAUGUAUUUGAUUGUUGUCCGGUGUUUAUAUAAUUCGCUUCCGCAUGUGCAUAAAAUAAAAAAGGGUCGGCGACGCGUCCUAGGAACGUUGCAAAUUUUUAAGUCCACCGUCGAGGGAUGUGCGCGUGCCCGGGGUUCGGGACGUGACACCAAUCCCUCUGGAAACCGGACCAAACCGGCUGGUCCGGUCCGGUCUGGGCAAUUUCCGGUUUGGACAGUCCAACAUCCUCACCCCUAUUUUCUACUCAGGAGAUUGGACUCUGGUUUAGCACUUCUCUCUGCCCUAAAACUUCAAAACCAAUAAGAUGCCAGAUGCUUUGUCUCCAUGUUCAUCUCCAAUAACACAGCCAGCAAUAGCAAACCUAACCCAACUGUGAUCACAAGGAUGGGGUGUCUCUAUUAUUGGAGUCUCUCUCUUGAGGAAGAACAAGCAAGCUCACGUACACACCCCACCGUACCGACGGAAGAGCACCCGCUGGAGUUGUUUGAAGUUGGGCCAUGUGACUCCUUGUCAAAUGGGCUUCUUGAUUGGUCAGACGUUCUCAGGUUUGAUACAGGGCAGGUUGUCUAGAGACCUCAUCCUUCAGAAACAACUCCUGCUCCUGCCAUGGGCAAGAGCUCCAAAAUCACGGCCUCUCCUCGAUGCUCUCUGUGAAAAUAACCAGAACAAGUUCCCUCGCUACUGGUACAAGCUUGUUGGGACAGCCGAAGGGGAUGGUGUGCCUAUUGUCGGCGGAAUGCUUGUGCUAGUUUGCCACUAAAGAAGUGUCCGAUGUCAUCCCGUUGGUUUUAUAUUGGCUGCCAAUAUAUCGCAUAGCUUGAACUGUUCGUGUGCAGAUAGUGUUGAUAAACUUCAGGAAGGAAAUCCUACCCUUCAUCCUGGAAAAGAAAACAAAAUCAGACUUGCCCGAGAAAGUCACUGAGUGUUCCGAUGUAUUGGUUGUCAGCGAGUUGAUGGCCGUUGCUGCACACAACGAGGACGCCAAUGUUGCCCUAGUUGGCCACACAUAUGGUUUGAAAUUUCCUGUGUCAAGAUUCAUGAAGUUCAACUUGAAUGCAUAAGCCGAGUUUAUUUUGACACGUUUGCAUAAUGAAAGGGGAUGGCGGAUGAGUGACUGCUGCUUCUGUUGUGGUAUAUGCAGCUACUUAAUAAAGGGUACUCUGUCGAAUGGAUUGUGCUUCAUUUCGUACACAUAUGCAGGAGGGCUCCCGAGCUGCGCAUACGGAUUCAACAACAGAAUUGUAAGAAAGCUCAAGCGCAUGCUGAAUCAGUACUUCGCACCCGAUGCAGUAGAUAAACAAACAUUAUAAUUUGAUGUUGGAGAAGUUAACAAUAGCACAAUGGAACCUCUUGAGGAAAAAACAAUUCAGCCUACCAGUAGAUAAAUCUCGUAUUAUCUUGAGUUCUUGGGUAUUGACCUUUGUGAAAUUCCUGAUGAAUUAACUUAUACCUGAAAUGAGAUGUUCAGGGAUUUACACACUCAAUGCAGUACCUCCCUCUAAAGAAGAGAUUGUAGCAGGUGGGAUUGGAAUUCAUCUCCAGAGAUCUCCUAGAGGCAACGAUAAUACCCUAUUUGCAUCUUCAAUCUCACAUCUGCCAUAAUGGACAGUGUUAUUUCCUGAUCUUCUACUUCUCUAUCAAUAAAUUCUGCUCUGCAGAAGCAUCCGUAGGGCACAGCUACAAUCUGAUCAAUCUGAAUGCACGAAGAAACCGCAACAUAGAGACCACAUCAAGGACCCAGCUUUCAGUUAAUGAAGUGGAUGAGAUGCCGUUCUCCCAUGCAAACGUGUAUCUGCAUCUUCAAGUUAAGCAGGUAGAAGAUGAGAACUUGAUAAGCAGGCAAAAGAGCUCGGCUGUGUUACCAAAGAAUUCUAAACAGGACUUCCUAUCACUCCUUGGAGAUACAGAUGAUGAGAAAUAUUCCAUUUACAUCUCAGGUCCAACGUUGUAUAGACAAUGCACGGCUUUGGUUGAUCGGGAUGAGCAGACACUGAGCAUCAUCAAAGGGAAUCCGAAGAAAGGAGAAGUUUCUCACAUCUUCUCCCUGUCGUUGCCAGAUCUCAAGAAGCUGUGCUGAAACCUCCAUGCAGCUCAUUUUGCUUUGACGAAGUGAGAAAGACUAAUGCAGUUUCCAAGGCUCUCAUCCAGGUUUCUGUACACCUAUUGAGUGCCCCUCUCCUGUCAUUUUUCACCAGAACUCGACUUAGGUAAUUUUUUUCCACCGAGCGGCCACACACUACACUGAAGGUCCGACGUGAGAUGAAAAGUCUAAUGCAUCAUAGAUGGUCGAUCGCUAGACUCACGUCUCUUAACAAUUAGGAACUUAAAAAAUUACAAUAUGCAAGAUUCUCUCAA